AUCCCGUACAAUCACCGAAGUUAAGCAACAUCGAGCCUGGUCAGUACGUAGAUGGGUAACCGCUUGGGAAUACCAGGUGCUGUAAG